GGAUGAAUGAUGACACAAAAACUUGUCCUGAAGACAGAUAAAGACAUAAAAAUCAUGCUCAAUAGGAUUACUCUGAGGCCC